GUGGGGAAUCUUGCGCAAUGGGCGAAAGCCUGACGCAGCCAUGCCGCGUGAAUGAUGAAGGUCUUAGGAUUGUAAAAUUCUUUCACCGGGGACGAUAAUGACGGUACCCGGAGAAGAAGCCCCGGCUAACUUCGUGCCAGCAGCCGCGGUAAUACGAAGGGGGCUAGCGUUGCUCGGAAUUACUGGGCGUAAAGGGCGCGUAGGCGGACAGUUUAGUCAGAGGUGAAAGCCCAGGGCUCAACCUUGGAAUUGCAGUGGUUACUGGCUGUCUUGAGUACGGGAGAGGUGAGUGGAACUCCGAGUGUAGAGGUGAAAUUCGUCGAUAUUCGGAAGAACACCAGUGGCGAAGGCGACUCACUGGCCCGUUACUGACGCUGAGGCGCGAAAGCGUGGGGAGCAAACAGGAUUAGAUACCCGAGUAGUCC
rnacentral:rRNA from 1 species